GUCCUGCUGAAGAAGAAUAGGAAUCCCUGCACCAAUUAUACUGACAUCUGAAACUAAUCUGCUCUACUCUGCACUGUCUUGUUUUUCUGUUUCCACAGGAUUUUCUCAAGUAAAGUCCAUGAAGAAAUGCAAGCAGGUCAAGGGACAAUGUUACCCGCGCAAAUGCCCCAAGGGUUACAAGUACAUGGGAUCCUGUAUGAAGCAAUAUCCUUGCUGUCGUUGAGAGCCAAGAUCCCAGGCAACAAUGCAACACAAUAGAAUGUAAACAAAAGAAGCAUGAUCAGAUCUCAGUUAUAUCCUCAAAAUGUAUUGGAUCCGGAUGUGGUGGUAUUCAGGAGCAACAUGCAUUUAGGAUUAACUAUUGGGAAGAAUGUGGUUUUCCCUUGCCUAAAAUAAAAACAAUUGGUCAUA